rnacentral:rRNA from 1 species
CCAAUAGCGUAUAUUAAAGUUGUUGCAGUUAAAAAGCUCGUAGUUGAAUUUCGGGGUUAGUAGGUUGGUCAUGCCUCUGGUAUGUACUGGUCUCACUGAUUCCUCCUUCUGACGAACCACGAUGUCAUUAAUUUGGUGUCAUGGGGAAUCAGGACUGUUACUUUGAAAAAAUUAGAGUGUUUAAAGCAGGCUCACGCUUGAAUACAUUAGCAUGGAAUAACGAAAUAGGACUUUUGAUUCUAUUUUGUUGGUUUCUAGGAUCGACGUAAUGAUUAAUAGGGAUAGUUGGGGGCAUUAGUAUUCAAUUGUCAGAGGUGAAAUUCUUGGAUUUAUUGAAGACUAACUACUGCGAAAGCAUUUGCCAAGGAUGUUUUCAUUAAUCAAGAACGAAAGUUAGGGGAUCGAAGACGAUCAGAUACCGUCGUAGUCUUAACCAUAAACUAUGCCGACUAGGGAUCGGAUGAUGUUAAUUUUUUAAUGACUCAUUCGGCGCCUUACG